AGAGUUUGAUCCUGGCUCAGGAUGAACGCUAGCUACAGGCUUAACACAUGCAAGUCGAGGGGAAACGACAUCGAAAGCUUGCUUUUGAUGGGCGUCGACCGGCGCACGGGUGAGUAACGCGUAUCCAACCUGCCCAUCACUUGGGGAUAACCCUGCGAAAGUAAGACUAAUACCCAAUGAUAUCUCUAGAAGACAUCUGAAAGAGAUUAAAGAUUUAUCGGUGAUGGAUGGGGAUGCGUCUGAUUAGCUUGUUGGCGGGGUAACGCCACAAGGCUACGAUCAGUAGGGGUUCUGAGAGGAAGGUCCCCACAUUGGAACUGAGACACGGUCCAAACUCCUACGGGAGGCA
rnacentral:rRNA from 1 species